GUUCGGCUGAGUCCGAGGGUCGCCCCAGCGGGAAGGAAACCCCGAAGGUAGUGAAGAGGAAGCAAAAAAAAAUUGGUUCUUCCAUCCGUGGAUCGAUGAUGGAAGACCGAUGAUGAACGAAAGACCCUUUUGGGGAUUGAAGAACCACCAUCCUCGGGCUUUCGGAUGGGGUCGGAGGAUGAAGAACGCCCGAAAGAGAGAAAUACGGGAAA
rnacentral:lncRNA from 1 species